CCCUUAGAUGUUCUGGGCCGCACGCGUGCUACACUGAGUGGAUCAGCGGGUCAGGUUGCGCGAAAGUGUUUCCUAAUCUUUAAAUCCGCUCGUGAUGGGGAUUGACGGUUGCAAUUUUCCGUCAUGAACGAGGAAUACCUUGUAAGCGCGGGUCAUCAUCCCGCGCUGAAUACGUCCCUGCCCUUUGUACACACCGCCCGUCGCUCCUACCGAUUGAGUGGUCCGGUGAGGCUUUGGGAUCUGAGCGGAAAGAGCGUUUCGCUGUUUCUGCUCGGAAAACUCAGUCGAACCUUAUCAUUUAGAGGAAGGAGAAGGCGUAACA
rnacentral:rRNA from 1 species